CACCUAAAUCACCACCACCACCAUCUUCAACCACCACAACGAACAAUCUUAACCACCACUGUCUCAAUCAAUUCUCGGCAUCAGAAUCCAACCUUAGAUAUUCAGAAAUUCGAAUUCCAUUUCUAACAGCAACCACAACCAUCUCUUCCAUGAGCUCAAACAACAACUCAAACCCUGGUUUCCAUUUUCAUUACAGAUUCGCAAUUUCUUCUCUUCAUUCGAUUCCCGGCCACAAUCUCAGAUCCCCUGCAUCACAGCGAGACUCGAUCAUCGGAACCUAUCUUAAAAACAAAUCUCAACCGAAAAUUAUCAGAAAUUGAGAUCUAAAACCAGAUCCAUCUCCUAAAUCUUCAACUGAUAUUGAUUUCUGCAUCUUCUAAGAUAAGAGAACUGGUUGUUCUCUUCGAAACGGUUUUGGUGUUGGUGGCGGCGAUGGAGAUGAUGAUGGUGGAGUUAUGUUCGAUCGAUUUUUUUGGUGGUGAUAUUGACAGCGACGAAGGGAGGGGAAAGGUUGCUGAAAGAUAAGAGAGGUGGAGUUUUGAGAUCUGAAAUGGAAACCAAAAUAAACUUAAUCUGGUUUAAUAGAUAAAAUUGGAAUAAAAAUAUUUUUUUAUUUACUUAUGGAAGGUGAGGGGUAUCUUAUUUUACUAAUACGAAGAAAAGACAUCUUUUUGGUACGACCCAGAAAUUGGUCCGGUCACCCCUAGAUUACCAAUUUGCCCUUAACUGAAAACCGGGUUUCUUCACUGUGCGCCGGUAAAUUCACACAAAAGCAAGGGUAUCUAACAACUUCGAAUCUCUUUUUAUUUUCCGACUUCGUUUCUUUCUUCCUCCUCUUCUCCGUCUGAAAAUCUUAAUGGAACAACACCAAUCGAUCAAAACCAAUUAAACCAAACACUCUACGUCGAUCGGUUUUAUUAUUAGGGUUUUUUUCCAAUUUCAAUUCAACGUAUCUCAAUCAUAUCAAAACAUUUCCUAAUUAUCUCAACUUACAGAUUCAAACCCUAUUUCCCAAUUUGAAUUAGGGACCAAAUCGCGUGGUUUUAGGUUGGAAAUUUACAGUUCAAUUCAAGCUUCAUUUGCGCAAUAUAAGAUACUACAGGUUCGUUUUUGUUUCCUUUUUUAAUAUUGACCUAAAUUCUAUAAUUUGGGAUUUUCGCAUGUGAUUAACCUGUGCAAUUUUAGUUUCAGGGACUAGUUUCGCAUAUGAACUUUUGAUUCAAUUGUCAAAAAUUUAUACGUUAGGAAUGUUACAGAAACGUAAAUCAACUGAAAACGAUACCAUUUUAUAAGUAGCUACAUGGAUUUUCAACGGCUGUCAUGAUUAACAUCUUGGAAGUAGUUAAUUAGUAGCUUAUACGAAACAUGGUUAGCUAAUGAGUACACAACAAUUAGUUAAGAACUCUCCUUUGCUUUAACAUAUCUUUUAAUUAGAUGUACUUGCAUUAGCCAUAAUAAUUGUUACCUAAACAUGGUUAGAUAUUGAUCGGAUAACCUCUCUUUUCUGUACCAUGAAUCAUAACAUGCGGUGGAUUAUUCCCUGAAUUUAACACGGUGAUUCGGAAGAUUUUAUGGGGGUAAUGAUAUGGUAUUAUUUCGGUAAUGGAAAGGAGAAAAAUAUUUUUCUAGGAUAUCGGUAGUGGUUGUAUGUGCAUGAUUUGCUUAGUAUCGCCAAUUCUCUUGAUACAUGGGUUUCUAUACUCAAAAUACAGUUCCACUGACACCAAAGGAUGUAAAUGACAUCCAUAAACGGUGGGACUAUCCUUGGAUCAUUAAGAGGUGGCCAUCAUACCUCAAAGAUAGUUGAAAACAUCUAAGACCGGGGCAUCGAACAGCUACGGAGAUACAAAUGAGCAUGCAUCCGAGGCACACAAACAAGCUGUUGUCCAAGCAAUGUUAGGGGCUAGAAUUUCAAUAGUCAACAUCAGACGUCAUAGGGCAAGAUGGGAGAUGAAGCCGGUGUCUGAUAGGUUCUUUUUAGAUAAAAACUUUUCACUUGAAAAGAGAGACAAAUAAACUUGAAAAAUUAGCUUUUUAGCUCAAAGAAGAUGCCUAUCUCUGUUCCCAAUGCAAACAUUUGGAAACAGGCCGUUUACCUAUGAACCUAGGAAGUUUCAGAUUCACCAGCUAUUGAAGGGAAUUAUUCAAAUAAAAUCUAUUAGCUGACAUUAUGAGUAUGGUUUUAAAACACUCAGUUAUCUGAAUGUAUGAUACUCUUUGUUUUUUUUUUUUCAACCUGCAUAUUGAACCCAAGUCACAUACAAAGCUUUUAGAUGCUAUUAUGAAUACGGAGGAGUUCUAUUAGCUGGAGUCCUUUUGGUGUAAAUGGAAUUGUUUAAUUGAAAAGUUCGAUUUUGUUUGAAGUGGAAUGGAAUGGCAAGCGCAUCGCGCGUGCGGCUUUAGUAGAAGUUGAUGGAGUUCCUUAAUGAGAAUAAAUGUCGCUAUUAAACUUCAAGUUUCAAUUUCUCUUUUGCUGAAAAAUGUGGAUGGAAUGCCCACUGAUCAAGUUUAUAUUAGAAUUUUUAUGUGGAUAGCCUUCGUUUUUCUCUGUCGGGAUUUGGAAUCUUCUUUGGCCAGUAUCUUCAUAUUUGUUGCUUAAAUUUUUUAUGCUCUUUAGGAUCAAUAUUUUUGCCCCAAUACUAUUUUGGUGCAUCCAUGAUUUAAAAAUUUAUGAAUAUAUAAUGACGGACAUUAUUAUCUA